GGGAACGUACCUUUUGGUUCGGAACAACACAGGGAAACUUGUGCUAAUACCGAAUAAGCCCUUACGGGGAAAGAUUUAUCGCCGAAAGAUCGGCCCGCGUCUGAUUAGCUUGUUGGUGAGGUAACGGCUCACCAAGGCGACGAUCAGUAGCUGGUCUGAGAGGAUGAUCAGCCACAUUGGGACUGAGACACGGCCCAAACUCCUACGGGAGGCAGCAGUGGGGAAUAUUGGACAAUGGGCGCAAGCCUGAUCCAGCCAUGCCGCGUGAGUGAUGAAGGCCCUAGGGUUGUAAAGCUCUUUUGUGCGGGAAGAUAAUGACGGUACCGCAAGAAUAAGCCCCGGCUAACUUCGUGCCAGCAGCCGCGGUAAUACGAAGGGGGCUAGCGUUGCUCGGAAUCACUGGGCGUAAAGGGUGCGUAGGCGGGUCUUUAAGUCAGAGGUGAAAGCCUGGAGCUCAACUCCAGAACUGCCUUUGAUACUGAGGAUCUCGAGUUCGGGAGAGGUGAGUGGAACUGCGAGUGUAGAGGUGAAAUUCGUAGAUAUUCGCAAGAACACCAGUGGCGAA
rnacentral:rRNA from 1 species